GCAGUCAUGGCCGAGUGGUUAAGGCGUCUGACUCGAAAUCAGUUGAGAACUUCACGCGCAGGUUCGAAUCUUGCUGGCUGCG